rnacentral:rRNA from 1 species
UACGAAGGUGGCAAGCGUUGUUCGGAUUUACUGGGCGUACAGGGCGCGUAGGCGGUUGGAUAAGCCCUCCGUGAAAUCUCCAGGCUUAACCUGGAAAGUGCAGAGGGGACUGUUCAGCUAGAGGAUGGGAGAGGAGCGCGGAAUUCCCUGUGUAGCGGUGAAAUGCGUAGAGAUCGGGAGGAAGGCCGGUGGCGAAGGCGGCGCUCUGGAACAUUUCUGACGCUGAGGCUCGAAAGCGUGGGGAGCAAACAGG